rnacentral:misc_RNA from 1 species
GAUGAAGAACGUAGCGAAAUGCGAUACGUAGUGUGAAUUGCAGAAUUCAGUGAAUCAUCGAAUCUUUGAACGCACAUUGCGCCCCUUGGUAUUCCGAGGGGCAUGCCUGUUCGAGCGUCAUAUUAACCACUCCCGCUUGCGGGGUCUUGGGCUUCGCCUCCGGGCGGGCCUUAAAAUCAGUGGCGGUGCCGUCGGGCUCUACGCGUAGUAAAUUUUCUCGCGAUAGGGUCCCGGUGGAUGCUUGCCAACAACCCCCAACUUCUUAAGGUUGACCUCGGAUCAGGUAGGGAUACCCGCUGAACUUAAGCAUAUCAAUAAGCGGAGGA